CGUUGCCUCCGCCGAGCCCUAUCGCCUCCACGCAAGCCCAGCGCCCGUCGCACUCUCGGUCCCUCUCUCCGCUGCCCUUGACGUGCGCCUUUCUCCGCCGCCCUCGACUGAUCGAUCAUCUGCAUAUUUUUUUACAGCAGAGGAAGAAGAGAAAUUCCACACAAGGCCUCGGUGGUGGCGGUCGCUGCAACCGCCCCCAAUGAUGCCCGCGACUCUCGCCUUGGGAGUUCGGUCUACUGGGUCUGGAUCCGGGCGGGGGCAGAGGCGGCUCCGGGCCCCGCGGCUCGACAGGAGGAAGAAGGCUUAGUGCGCUACAUCCCCGUCAAGGCCUACUUCCUCUCCAUCAGCAUGGGAGCGACUUGGUAAAUCCAUCCACCUGGUCGCUAAACUACAUUGCGCUCUGCUACUCUGAAUUCCCUCCAGAGAUCAUGGGCGUUGGAGGGAAGAACGACAUAUUUUGCUGUCACUAUGUGGUUCUCUUCCAAUAUGGUUCUGCUGUGCUCUUCAAUGUAUAUAAUCAGGAAUCAUGCUUUUGGGAUGGCUUCUGGAGAUGAGGAAAGACGGAUUAUGCAGUAGUUGAGAAGCCAUCCCAGACAACUUGGAUGAAAGGAUGUCUUGAUUAUAUAGUUCUUAAAAGUUUAGAUACGGAUGGAAUUCGGAUCAUUUCAAGUGUUCUGGUCAAAGCAUCGCUCUUGAUUAUUGCAUACGGCAGGUCGAUGAUAUGGUUGAGGAGUUUACUGAAAUCAAUCGUAUCAUGGAGAAGACUGGGGACUUCACAAUGAAAAGUAAGAAGCUCUUUCAACUUAUGGGCUAGGCUAAUUCUAAUCUUGCAGAUGUUAUCAUUAGACAUGGCCUUUUUCACCGGUAUGUAAGUGUUACACUCUCUCCUGCAUAUUAUAUAUCAUAUACCAUAUAUUUUAGCAGUGUAUAUGUUUUCAUUUUCUGGAAAGAAGGAAUUUCAAUACGCAUCAUCCCCAUGUACUGUGGAGUGUUAUGGAAAAGAAGUCAUGUAACUGUCAAAAAAAUAAGAAGAUAUAACUUGACAUCGUAGCCAGGUAGGACAAUAUGAUAUCUAUAGACUAGUUCGAGACUCACAUGGUACUUCUCUCGGGAAAAAUUGAACAGUAAUAUUUAUGCUGUUCAAUGAAAAAAAUUCCUCGUGCUUUCAAGGAAGUUUGAUGUUUUGAUCUCCAGAUAUACAAAAUAUACAAUGCCAUAGCUCUUUAUGUUUUUAGUGUUUUUAUUUACUAGCAUUGUGUCCUGCUUUGAGAAUCAAAGAACAACAGAUGCACACUGAGACUAUUACCCCCUGUCGCAGAUGUUCCUCCACCCACAACAGCAAAGGCUGCUGCCGUCGCAAGCAAGUGCUGCCCCGCUGUCUCCUCACGUCAAAGACUGAAGCAUUGCCGCCGAUGUUUCUUUGCGCAUGGCAGACAUGCAUCGACCCGCAAUUUUUUUUCACGCGCCGGAGACCCAGAAUGUGGAGCUCGACAAAUACUCGAAAUCCUGGUUUUGGCCAUCUACGUGCAGUUCCACCGUUUGUUAUGAACAGAAAACUGAGACAUGAAAAAGGAUAUGCAACUGUCGAGAGAAGAGAGUGCAGUAACCAUGGAGAGUGGAGACAGUGGAAGAAGGUGGGAACUACAUGUUCAUUGCAACGCUUUGCUACUUACCAUUUGCAUGUGGAGGAUGCUCCCGGGUGAUUGCCAAAGCAUGCCAAUUACCAUUUGCAGCUACUAUGUGAAGUGGCAGCUGGUGAACCAGAUCGACAAUGGAUCAAUUAGUAGUGUCGCCAUCCUUGGUUCUGAAGCAAUUCGUGAGGCGUCUCCUGCCAUAACAAUCUGGUUCUUACCUGAGUAUUGUCUACUAAGACGCCAUGUUGCUAGGUAAGUAUAAACAGUGGAUUAUCUCCAUUCAUGUGUUGCAGCUUCUACCAUCCUCCUUUUUUAGCAUGUCAGACACUCAGUAUACUUAUUCAUAUAGAUAGAUUUUUUAAGUAUAAGAAGCUCAUGUUUAGAUACUUAAUGCUGACAUGUGAACCAACAAUGCAACAUGAACACAAUUAUUAGUGCAUGAUACUUUGAUCAAUAAUUUCUCUGUCAUCGGCCGUGCACUAAUUUAGACAUAUUCUGUUUUUCUGAAAGCAAUUCAUCCCAAAUUUUCGUCUGAGCCGCAUUGCAUUUUUAUCCUGAAUCUCCGUCAUCAUUCAUUUUUGCAAAGAUUUAUUGCAUUUAUGAGACACAUUUACUCCAUUUUAAUUCAAUUUACCAUAUAUUAAUCCACUUCAAUUAGCAACAAGAUCCCAAGCUGAAACUAUUGCGGUCUGGGCUGGUAUGCGACUCCCAUUUUCCCAUUAUUGAUUUUUUUCACAAUGGAUACAUUCGAGCAUUGCAUUUUAAAGUCAAGUUUUAGCAAUUAUUUUUUAGCAGAAAUGCAGUGAUCUAUAUGCAAACAAUCUCUCUGUUUUAGUAAUGUUAUGGGACAUCAGAGAGCAGAUGGCAUGUCACAUCCCCAAUAAAUGUGUCAAUCAUACUAAAUCAUGGAUGAUUUCUAAUUUUGGAUAUUGAAAGAAUGCUAUUUUCUCGAGUAUAAUAUGACAAUACUCCCUCUGUAAAGAAAUAUAAGAGCGUUUUGAUCAUUAGUAGUGAUCUAAACACUCUUAUAUUUCCUUACAGAGGGAGUACUAAUUAACUCUUUCUGUUUGUAAGCUAUCUUGAUAUUUCUUAGCUGUUUUGAUGUUUCGCUUGGCAGAAAGUAUCACUGUAGUACUGCUUGAGAAGACAUAAGUGUGGGUGAUUGUGGUUUUAAAUCAGAGAAUUAUGGUUUCAAAGUUAUUCGUUAAAGGCCAAGAUGUUCUCAAUAUGCUGCAUCUGGAACGUCUCCGAAGAGAUUAACCAUCUGAAGACUCGGUCACCUGGUUUUACUUUAAAUGAAGUUGUGUGUGUGAGGGAGUGAGCAAUAAAUUUGUGCAUGAACUAACGACGUUGGUGAGAGUUUAGGUGUUCGUAGAAUUGGUUAGGUGAAUACCCCGAUCUUGUAGUUAGAUGGUUGUAACUAACAUCUUACACUCUUUUAAUGGUGAUCAAUAGAUUGUUGUGUCCAUCGGAA